GAUGAACGCUAGCUACAGGCUUAACACAUGCAAGUCGCGGGGCAGCAUGGGGGUUGCUUGCAAUCCCCGAUGGCGACCGGCGCACGGGUGAGUAACGCGUAUCCAACCUGCCCUUCACCACGGGAUAACCCGGCGAAAGUCGGACUAAUACCGUAUGUUGUCCAUUGACGGCAUCCGAUUUGGACGAAAGGUUUGGCGGUGAAGGAUGGGGAUGCGUCCGAUUAGCUGGACGGCGGGGUGACGGCCCACCGUGGCGACGAUCGGUAGGGGUUCUGAGAGGAAGGUCCCCCACACUGGAACUGCGACACGGUCCAGACUCCUACGGGAGGCAGCAGUGAGGAAUAUUGGUCAAUGGGCGUAAGCCUGAACCAGCCAAGUAGCGUGCAGGAUGACGGCCCUAUGGGUUGUAAACUGCUUUUAUGCGGGGAUAAAGUGGCCCACGUGUGGGUUUUUGCAGGUACCGCAUGAAUAAGGACCGGCUAAUUCCGUG
rnacentral:rRNA from 1 species